rfam:Callithrix jacchus chromosome 3, whole genome shotgun sequence
AGAUGCUGUGGUGUGUUCCUGUAGUCCCAACUACUUGGGAAACUGAGGCAGGAGGAUCUCUUGAGCUCAGCAGUUCUGGAAUAUAGUGCGCUAUGCUGAUUGGGCUUCCUCACUAAUUUUGAUAUCCAUAUGGUGACCUCCCAGGAACAGGGGGCCAUCAGGUUGCCUAGGGAGGGGUGAACCCGCCCAGAUCAGAAACAGCUGGUCAAAACUCCCAUGCUAAUCGGUAGUGGGAUCACGCCUGUGAAUAGUCACUACACUCCAGCCUUAGCAACAUAGCAAGACCUCAUCCCUU